rnacentral:rRNA from 1 species
CCAAGGCGAUUACGGGUAGCCGGCCUGAGAGGGCGACCGGCCACACUGGGACUGAGACACGGCCCAGACUCCUGCGGGAGGCAGCAGUGGGGAAUAUUGCGCAAUGGGCGAAAGCCUGACGCAGCGACGCCGCGUGGGGGAUGACGGCCUUCGGGUUGUAAACCUCUUUUACCACCAACGCAGGCCCGGAGUUCUCUUCGGGUUGACGGUAGGUGGGGAAUAAGGACCGGCUAACUACGUGCCAGCAGCCGCGGUAAUACGUAGGGUCCGAGCGUUGUCCGGAAUUAUUGGGCGUAAAGAGCUCGUAGGCGGUGUGUCGCGUCGGUCGUGAAAACUUGGGGCUCAACCCCGAGCUUGCGGUCGAUACGGGCAUCACUGGAGUUCGGCAGGGGAGACUGGAAUUCCUGGUGUAGCGGUGAAAUGCGCAGAUAUCAGGAGGAACACCGGUGGCGAAGGCGGGUCUCUGGGCCGAUACUGACGCUGAGGAGCGAAAGCGUGGGGAGCGAACAGGAUUAGAUACCCUGGUAGUCCACGCCGUAAACGGUGGGCGCUAGGUGU